rnacentral:rRNA from 1 species
CCUACGGGUGGCUGCAGUAGGGAAUAUUGCACAAUGGACGAAAGUCUGAUGCAGCGACGCCGCGUGAGUGAUGAAGGCCUUCGGGUUGUAAAGCUCUGUGAUAAGGGAGACGGUACCUUAUCAGAAAGGACCGGCUAACUUCGUGCCAGCAGCCGCGGUAAUACGAGGGGUCCAAGCGUUGUUCGGAAUCACUGGGCGUAAAGCGGGUGUAGGUGGCUCUGCAAGUCACAUGUGAAAGCCCUGGGCUCAACCCAGGAAGUGCAUGUGAUACUACAGAGCUUGAGUAAGGGAGAGGAUGGCAGAAUUCCAGGUGUAGUGGUGAAAUACGUAGAUAUCUGGAGGAACUCCGGUGGCGAAGGCGGCCAUCUGGCCCAUACUGACACUCAGACCCGAAAGCGUGGGUAGCAAACAGGAUUAGAUACCCUUGUAGUC